rnacentral:rRNA from 1 species
AUUGAACGCUGGCGGCAGGCCUAACACAUGCAAGUCGAACGAGUGGCGGACGGGUGAGUAAUGUCUGGGAAACUGCCUGAUGGAGGGGGAUAACUACUGGAAACGGUAGCUAAUACCGCAUACCAUCGGAUGUGCCCAGAUGGGAUUAGCUAGUAGGUGGGGUAAAGGCUCACCUAGGCGACGAUCCCUAGCUGGUCUGCGAGGAUGACUCGCCACACUGGAACUGAGACACCGUCCAGACUCAAACGGGAGGGAGCAUUGGGGAGUAGUGCACAAUGUGAGCAAGUCUGAUGCAGUCAGGCCGCGUGUAUGAAGAAGGCUUUCGGGUUGUAAAGGACUAUCAGCGGGGAGACGUUACCCGCAGAAGAAGCACCGGCUAACUCCGUGCCAGCAGCCGCGGUAAUAC